CACGAACGCUGGCGGCAGGCUUAACACAUGCAAGUCGAGCGCCCCGCAAGGGGAGCGGCAGACGGGUGAGUAACGCGUGGGAAUCUACCCAUCUCUACGGAAUAACGCAUGGAAACGUGUGCUAAUACCGUAUACGUCCUUCGGGAGAAAGAUUUAUCGGAGAUGGAUGAGCCCGCGUUGGAUUAGCUAGUUGGUGGGGUAAACGCCUACCAAGGCGACGAUCCAUAGCUGGUCUGAGAGGCUGAUCAGCCACACUGGGACUGAGACACGGCCCAGACUCCUACGGGAGGCAGCAGUGGGGAAUAUUGGACAAUGGGCGCAAGCCUGAUCCAGCCAUGCCGCGUGAGUGAUGAAGGCCCUAGGGUUGUAAAGCUCUUUCACCGGUGAAGAUAAUGACGGUAACCGGAGAAGAAGCCCCGGCUAACUUCGUGCCAGCCGCCGCCGUAAGAC
rnacentral:rRNA from 1 species